AUUAUGUUACAAAUUUUGUGUUGUAUUGUAAUUUGUUUUUCUUUCUAAGCUUUAACAAUAACAAAGUCACUCGAUCUAUUACGGAAUUUUUGAAAGAGUACUACAUUGAGCCAUGUAGAAAUUGGACUGAAACAAGUCAAUCAACAAAAGAUCAUUGGUUUCAUCUUUUCAAGGUUAACACUUUAACUUAAUUUUAUUCUAUCACAAAUAAGACUAUAAAUAUUUAGUCAGUUCUUAUUUUUGCAUGAUACACCGUAAUACUCUUGGCCUUCAGAGUUGGAUUCACAAGUAAGAGAAGGUUUUCAAUGCAAAGCAGCUAAAAGACUUAAACACUUGCAUCAUUGGGUGACAUCGAAGAAAAAAAGGUGUAAGACCAAUAUGGAUGCCAGAGGAAGUACACCAACAACUUAUGCAAAAAACAAAAGAUGAUGAGUUUAAGAAAAAAAUCAGAACAAGCGAAAAAGAACAAGAGAGGAGGAUCAAUGAAAGGUGUUGUGGAACCUGGACAUUGUCAAGUUUCAAUUUCUACGGCCGACUAUGCAAGAAGGAUGGCUGCAAAAAAUGGAGGAGUCUUGCCAAAAGCUGCUGAUAUUUACUUGGAGACGCAUUCAAAGGAACGACAACCAGGCCAAGGCAAGCAACUCAUUGGGUCCAAAUCAAAACAAAUCAUGGUUAGUAUACUUCAUUUGAUCAAAUAAAAAAUUAUAAAUAUAUUUGGAACGUUGGUUGGAUGACAUAUGAUAUUUAAAUGGUUUGAAUUGUUCUUUGGAUGAUUGAUUGGAUGAAUAGUUGGUUGAAUUAUUGGAAAGAUUGUUAGAUGAAGUAUAUGAACAUUUUGUUUUUUGGUUUUGAGUUAUAAUGUUGUUGAAGUUAUAUCAUUUGUAAAAAAUCAUGGGAUUGAUGUUGAUUAGUUAUUAGUAUAAACUAUUAGAUGUAAUAUUGAAUUAUCUUGCACUUUGCAGGUAUAUACAUAUUCAAUAUUUUGUAGUAUCAAUUUAAACAAAUAUUUGUCUAUUUUUUUCUAGAAAUAUUAUGUAUGUAUAUUAAACUUAUCUAUUUGAUGUAAGAUGAUUAUAAUAAGAAAAUGGAUGAUUAUAGAGAGAAGGGAGUCAACAAAGAUCCCCAUGAAGUUUACUUUGAGAUAGUGGGUGGGAGGAAAAAAGGAUUGAUUCCUGGCUUAGGUACAAGUGGUGAUCUUCUUUACAAAAAACCAUCAACCCGCACUAGUAGCUCUUCUAGUAUCUACACGUCUUCUAUGCUUUCUCAGCUUUCAACUACCGUGGAGCAAUAUCAGCAACAAUUAGCGGAUCAAAUAGCUGAAUUUCAGAGGCAAAAAAAUGAGUGGGAGACACAUCGUCUCCAAACGGAAAAGGAAAGGGAAGAGACAAAGAAAUACAUGGAGGAGAUGAAGACGACAAUGGAAGAGUAUUCUCAAAUGAUGACUCAGUGUGGAGGUACUUUCCCUUUCACCCAACCACGUGACCCACGUGAUCCUUCUGGUGGUGGAUCGGGAUUUCCUUGUAGUACUUAGACUUAUAGCCUUUUAUUAGUAUAUUAUAUAUUUUGAGAAAAAUGAUGUAUAAUUUUGGUUGUUGGAAUUACUCUUAGAUUUAUAUUGUGGAGAAUAUGAUGUUUAAUAUAUGUUGUAUCAAACCUAUUAUUUUGAUA